UACGGAGGGGGCUAGCGUUGUUCGGAAUUACUGGGCGUAAAGCGCGCGUAGGCGGACCUGCAAGUCGGGGGUGAAAGCCCGAGGCUCAACCUCGGAACUGCCUUCGAUACUGCGGGUCUCGCGUCCGGGAGAGGUGAGUGGAAUUCCUAGUGUAGAGGUGAAAUUCGUAGAUAUUAGGAAGAACACCAGUGGCGAAGGCGGCUCACUGGCCCGGUACUGACGCUGAGGCGCGAAAGCGUGGGGAGCAAACAGG
rnacentral:rRNA from 1 species